rnacentral:rRNA from 1 species
UACGUAGGGCGCAAGCGUUAUCCGGAUUAUUGGGCGUAAAGAGCUUGUAGGCGGUUUGUCGCGUCUGCUGUGAAAUUUCGGGGCUCAACCCCGAACUUGCAGUGGGUACGGGCAGACUAGAGUGUGGUAGGGGAGACUGGAAUUCCUGGUGUAGCAGUGAAAUGCGUAGAUAUCAGGAGGAAUACCGAUGGCGAAGGCAGGUCUCCUGGGCUGACACUGACGCUCAUGCACGAAAGCGUGGGGAGCAAACAAGG